rnacentral:rRNA from 1 species
GAUCCUGGCUCAGGAUGAACGCUAGCGACAGGCUUAACACAUGCAAGUCGAGGGGCAGCACGAUGUAGCAAUACAUUGGUGGCGACCGGCGCACGGGUGAGUAACGCGUAUGCAACCUACCUAUCAGAGGGGAAUAACCCGGCGAAAGUCGGACUAAUACCGCAUAAAACAGGGGUUCCACAUGGAAAUAUUUGUUAAAGAAUUAUCGCUGAUAGAUGGGCAUGCGUUCCAUUAGAUAGUUGG